UACGGAGGGUGCGAGCGUUGUCCGGAAUCACUGGGCGUAAAGAGCUCGUAGGCGGUUUGUCGCGUCUGCCGUGAAAGUCCGGGGCUCAACUCCGGAUCUGCGGUGGGUACGGGCAGACUAGAGUGAUGUAGGGGAGACUGGAAUUCCUGGUGUAGCGGUGAAAUGCGCAGAUAUCAGGAGGAACACCGAUGGCGAAGGCAGGUCUCUGGGCAGUAACUGACGCUGAGGAGCGAAAGCAUGGGGAGCGAACAGG
rnacentral:rRNA from 1 species